GUAGGGAAUCUUCCACAAUGGACGAAAGUCUGAUGGAGCAACGCCGCGUGAGUGAAGAAGGUCUUCGGAUCGUAAAACUCUGUUGUUAGAGAAGAACGUGCAUGAUAGUAACUGAUCAUGUAAUGACGGUAUCUAACCAGAAAGCCACGGCUAACUACGUGCCAGCAGCCGCGGUAAUACGUAGGUGGCAAGCGUUGUCCGGAUUUAUUGGGCGUAAAGGGAACGCAGGCGGUUUUUUAAGUCUGAUGUGAAAGCCUUCGGCUUAACCGAAGAAUAGCAUUGGAAACUGGAAGACUUGAGUGCAGAAGAGGAGAGUGGAAUUCCAUGUGUAGCGGUGAAAUGCGUAGAUAUAUGGAGGAACACCGAUGGCGAAGGCAGCCCCCUGGGAUAACACUGACGCUCAUGCACGAAAGCGUGGGGAGCAAACAGGAUUAGAAACCCGAGUAGUCC
rnacentral:rRNA from 1 species